GAAUGGAGUUCAAAGGAAAUGCACCCCGGCAUAAUCCGCGGCGAAGGGCGUAAGAAUAUACGGGAGAAAAAGGUAAGCGGAGGGAAGAAAGAGUGAGGUAGCGAUAUGAGUUAUUCAUAAUUCCAUUUCCUGUGCGAGGGGGUGCGCACAGAUGUGAACCUGAGUCGUUUCAUAAAGGCUGAAGGGUGAAAUGUAAAGAGGCAGCCCAGAUGCAAAACUGUUCGGCCUCUUGCAGCGAACUGGCUGUGAUCAGACCAGCGUUGAGCAUGGACUCUCCGUUACGGAUCCAACCCAGCACCUGCAACACACAUCAGCUUCCAACGGGGCUUACGUUUCCACUGCACUUUCCGUGGCCUGAGGCGGGACAGUUCUAAGUACGUGUGCUGGCUGCUGAAUAUUAGAGGAGCUGUGUGACACAACUGUAAUGGAACAAACCGCAGCAACAUAAUGAUGACUCACACAUAUGAUUCACAGGUGUCUCCGGUGCUGCUCCGCUGCCAGGUCCAACUCCUGCUGCUUCUCGUGGAGGAACUCCAGCAGGUCCUGGACCCGCGUGGCCAUGUCCACAUCUCUGUCGCAUAACAGCUCCACACCUGCACACAGUGGACA